UGGGGAAUUUUGGACAAUGGGGGCAACCCUGAUCCAGCCAUCCCGCGUGUGCGAUGAAGGCCCUCGGGUUGUAAAGCACUUUUGGCAGGGAAGAAACAGCCUGGGAUAAUACCCCGGGCGACUGACGGUACCUGCAGAAUAAGCACCGGCUAACUACGUGCCAGCAGCCGCGGUAAUACGUAGGGUGCAAGCGUUAAUCGGAAUUACUGGGCGUAAAGCGUGCGCAGGCGGUUCGGAAAGAAAGGUGUGAAAUCCAGGGCUUAACCUUGGAACUGCACUUUAACUACCGAGCUAGAGUACGUCAGAGGGGGGUAGAAUUCCACGUGUAGCAGUGAAAUGCGUAGAGAUGUGGAGGAAUACCGAUGGCGAAGGCAGCCCCUGGGAUGAUACUGACGCUCAUGCACGAAAGCGUGGGGAGCAAACAGGAUUAGAUACCCUGGUAGUCCACGCCCUAAACGAUGUCAACUAGCUGUUGGGGUUUAUUAACCUUAGUAGCGCAAGCUAACGCGUGAAGUUGACCGCCUGGGGAGUACGGUCGC
rnacentral:rRNA from 1 species